UGAGGAAUAUUGGUCAAUGGGCGGGAGCCUGAACCAGCCAAGCCGCGUGAGGGAGGAAGGCCCUAUGGGUCGUAAACCUCUUUUGUCAGGGAACAAAAGCGAGUAUGUAUACUAGUCUGAGUGUACCUGAAGAAAAACGCAUCGGCUAACUCCGUGCCAGCAGCCGCGGUAAUACGGAGGAUGCGAGCGUUAUCCGGAUUUAUUGGGUUUAAAGGGUGCGUAGGCGGCGGUGCAAGUCAGCGGUAAAAGCCCGGGGCUCAACCCCGGCGAGCCGUUGAAACUGCAGUGCUAGAGAAGCGAGAGGUACGCGGAAUGCGCAGUGUAGCGGUGAAAUGCUUAGAUAUUGCGCAGAACUCCGGAUUGCGAAGGCAGCGUACUGGCGCCUGACUGACGCUGAGGCACGAAAGCGUGGGGAUCGAACAGGAUUAGAUACCC
rnacentral:rRNA from 1 species